AAGCAGCCACUCAUUCAAAGAGUGCGUAAUAGCUCACUGGUCGAGUGAUCCUGCGCCGAAGAUUUCCGGGGCUAAAACUUACUACCGAAGCUACGGCAUCAUUAUGAUGGGUAGGGGAGCUUCCCAUACGGGUUGAAGCAUGACCGUAAGGACAUGUGGACAGUAUGGGAGUGAGAAUGUUGGCAUGAGUAGCGAGAUGUGGGUGGGAAUCCCACAGGCCGUAAACCCAAGGUUUCCAGGGGAAGGUUCGUCCGCCCUGGGUUAGUCGGGACCUAAGCUGAGGCCGAAAGGCGUAGGUGAUGGACAACAGGUUGAUAUUCCUGUACUACCGAUAACC
rnacentral:rRNA from 1 species